GACGAACGCUGGCGGCGUGCCUAAUACAUGCAAGUAGAACGCUGAAGAGAGGAGCUUGCUCUUCUUGGAUGAGUUGCGAACGGGUGAGUAACGCGUAGGUAACCUGCCUUGUAGCGGGGGAUAACUAUUGGAAACGAUAGCUAAUACCGCAUAACAAUGGGUGACACAUGUCAUUUAUUUGAAAGGGGCAAUUGCUCCACUACAAGAUGGACCUGCGUUGUAUUAGCUAGUAGGUGAGGUAACGGCUCACCUAGGCGACGAUACAUAGCCGACCUGAGAGGGUGAUCGGCCACACUGGGACUGAGACACGGCCCAGACUCCUACGGGAGGCAGCAGUAGGGAAUCUUCGGCAAUGGGGGCGACCCUGACCGAGCAACGCCGCGUGAGUGAAGAAGGUUUUCGGAUCGUAAAGCUCUGUUGUAAGUCAAGAACGAGUGUGAGAGUGGAAAGUUCACACU
rnacentral:rRNA from 1 species